rnacentral:misc_RNA from 1 species
UAAUAAGUGUUUAUGGCACUUCUUAAAUCCAUAUCCACCUUGUGUGCAAUGUCAGCCGUUCUCCUUAUGGAAUCGGCCAAACAUCAACUUAUUUUUUAACUGUCUGUCUGAAAACUAUUAUGAAUAAAACAAUUCAAAUA